rnacentral:rRNA from 1 species
GUCAAAGUGAAGAAAUUCAAACAAGCGCGGGUAAACGGCGGGAGUAACUAUGACUCUCUUAAGGUAGCCAAAUGCCUCGUCAUCUAAUUAGUGACGCGCAUGAAUGGAUCAACGAGAUUCCCACUGUCCCUACUUACUAUCUGGUGAAACCGCAGCCAAGGGAACGGACUUGGCAAUAUCAGCGGGGAAAGAAGACCCUGUUGAGCUUGACUCUAGUCCGACUUUGUGAAAUAUCUUUAGGGGUGUAGAAUAAGUGGGAGGGUAACCAAUCUUGAAAUACCACUACCUUAAAUGAUGUUUUACUUAUUUGAUUAUUAGAAAAUUACUUUUUGUAUUAAAUGAUCACUAGAUCAUGAUUCUUUUCUAAAGACAUUGUCAGAUGGGGAGUUUGGCUGGGGCGGCACAUUUGCUAAAAGAUAACGCAAGUGUCCAAAGAUGAACUCAAUGAGAACAGAAAAUCU